rnacentral:misc_RNA from 1 species
CCUUCCCGAGUACGCUCGGGUG